rnacentral:rRNA from 1 species
AGAGUUUGAUCCUGGCUCAGAGCGAACGCUGGCGGCAUGCUUAAUACAUGCAAGUCGCACGGUCGGGGGCAACUCCGGCAGUGGCGGACGGGUGAGUAACGCGUAGGAAUCUAUCCACGGGUGGGGGAUAACGCCGGGAAACUGGUGCUAAUACCGCAUGAUACCGAGAGGUCAAAGGCGCAAGUCGCCUGUGGAGGAGC